rnacentral:rRNA from 1 species
UACGGAGGGUGCGAGCGUUGUCCGGAAUCACUGGGCGUAAAGGGCGCGUAGGUGGCCUGUGGAAGUCUGCGGUGAAAGCCCGGCGCUCAACGCCGGGUCGGCCGUGGAUACUCUCGGGCUUGAGCUUACUAGAGGCAGAUGGAAUUCCGGGUGUAGCGGUGGAAUGCGUAGAGAUCCGGAAGAACACCGGUGGCGAAGGCGGUCUGCUGGGGUAAUGCUGACACUGAUGCGCGGACAGCGUG